rnacentral:rRNA from 1 species
CAGCAGCCGCGGUAAUACGGAGGGUGCAAGCGUUAAUCGGAAUUACUGGGCGUAAAGCGCACGCAGGCGGUCUGACAAGUCAGAUGUGAAAUCCCCGGGCUUAACCUGGGAACUGCAUUUGAAACUGUCAGGCUGGAGUCUUGUAGAGGGGGGUAGAAUUCCAGGUGUAGCGGUGAAAUGCGUAGAGAUCUGGAGGAAUACCGGUGGCGAAGGCGGCCCCCUGGACAAAGACUGACGCUCAGGUGCGAAAGCGUGGGGAGCAAACAGGAUUAGAGACCCCGGUAGUCCCUGUCCCUUAUAC